AGAGUUUGAUCAUGGCUAUAGAAUCAACGCUGGCGGCGUGCCUAACACAUGCAAGUCGAACGCGAAAACCCCGCAAGGGGUUAUCAGAGUGGCGAACGGGUGAGUAACACGUGGGUGACCUACCUUCGAAUGGGGGAUAACGUCCCGAAAGGGACGCUAAUACCGCAUAACAUCCUGCUUUUGAAAAGGUGGAGAUCAAAGCUGGGGAUCGCAAGACCUGGCGUUUGAAGAGGGGCCCGCGUCUGAUUAGCUAGUUGGUGAGGUAACGGCUCACCAAGGCAACGAUCAGUAUCCGGCCUGAGAGGGCGGACGGACACACUGGGACUGAGACACGGCCCAGACUCCUACGGGAGGCAGCAGUGGGGAAUUGUUCGCAAUGGGCGCAAGCCUGACGACGCAACGCCGCGUGGAGGAUGAAGGUCUUCGGAUUGUAAACUCCUGUUGCCCGGGACGAAAUGCUUCGACCUAACACGUCGGAGUUUGACGGUACCGGGUGAGGAAGCCCCGGCUAACUCUGUGCUAGCCGCCGCGGUAAUAC
rnacentral:rRNA from 1 species